GAGGUGGAGCAGCUGCACGAGGGCGAGACGCAGCUCCUCGCAGGGCUCCGGCGGCGGCCGCGCGAGUUCAGGUCGGGCUAAGCGUGCGCUGAGCGCGGGCAGCAGACGCGGCAGAGCGUCGCGGGGCCGCGCGGCGCGGCGCAGGCCAAGGUCGAGCAGGUGAGCGGCCAGCGCGCGGCAGCCCUCGGCCGGAUCGCUCAGAAGCCGCAGCAGGCGCGGCAGCAGCAGACGGGACCAGGGGCCCUGGAAGGCCGCGGAAUCCGCGCCGGGCCGCACCGCCUCUUCCAGUGCCUGCUCCAGAGCCUCCAGAGCGCGCCGCCGUCCCAGUUUACUUUCCGUCUCCAGCCCCGGUAGCAGGCGGCCGAGCGCGCGGGGAGCCAAGGAAGAUGCUUUAAGUAGAACACUGAAAGCUAAGUCUGCACUAUUAAGGAUGCCUGUGGCUGCUGUGAAGGCUGGGAUGGACCAGCAGGGAUGGCCUGUAGGUCCUGUGAGCAGUAAUGAGUUCGCCUUUCCUGUUCCCUCCAUCUAAAUACAACUAAAUAUCCCACAAGAAACACCCAGUAGGAAAAGGACUUGAGAGUUGAAAAUAACUACACUGGCCUGGAACUCAGAACUUGGGCUGUGUUUCCUUUUUCUUUGAUUUCUGAGCCAGGGCCCCAGAGAGGCCCACACGAUGGCCAAGAGAUACAGGGCAAGUCUUCUGGGAAACCCCUCUCUCUGGCCAGUGGCAGGAGAGACCUAGAACAAUGCCCAGCAGAGACUUUAACCAGUGUUCCAGUCCCAGUCCACAGUCUGUCCCCAGUGACAGUGUCAGAGCACCUGUAGGCUCACCUGACCCUGCCUGCACAUGGGGGUGCCGGUGGGGACCACAUAGGUAGUGUUGUGAAGCUGCCUGUCAGCAGGAGACCCACAUCCUCAGUAGGAUAGACCCCAGAGAUGCCUUCAUAACCCUGCAGAUGACACCAGCAGGGACCAAGGAGCCCCACCCGUGCCAGAGACUCAAACAGACCAGGAGAGCAAAGCGGGGAUGCCAGAGACAAAGCCAGCAUUGGAACGAGAGGCCACAGCGGCAGGCCAGAUUGCACAUGUGACAUACAGCCACACGCUGGCAUUAGCAGCUAGCUGCCUGCUAACGUAGAAGAACCAGGAGUCUCCAAACAGAGUAACCCAAAUGUCCAGCGUACAUUUGAAAAAACCGCUUAUCAUUCCAAGAACAUUCGCAAUGUGAAUGCAAAAAGGCUGCUCACUGAAAUGGAUGCCAAAAUGAGCCAUCUGCCAAGGACUUGUCGACAACCAUGAAAAUCGCUUUCAGAAGCAAUUAGAAGAAAAAGUGAUUACAAACUCAUUUAAAAUAAAAAAAAAAAUUU
ensembl:processed_transcript Gm15672 predicted gene 15672